AGUGGAUGGGGAGCAACCUAGUUGUGCGUGUGUAAAGGUAGUGCCAAGAAAAGCGAUGAUCAUGUUGAAAAUCAAUUCCCGGUACCCGAAACCGACACAGGUGGGCAAGUAGAGAAUACUAAGGGGCGCGAGGUAACUCUCUCCAAGGAACUCGGCAAAAUGACCCCGUAACUUAGGGAGAAGGGGUGCCACCGAGAGGUGGUCGCAGUGAAGAGGCCCAGGCGACUGUUUAGCAAGAACAUAGGUCUCUGCAAACUCGAAAGAGGAGGUAUAGGGGCUGACGCCUGCCCAGUGCCGGAAGGUUAAAGAAGUUGGUCAGUUUUAGGAUGAAGCUAGCGACUGAAGCCCCGGUGAACGGCGGCCGUAACUAUAACGGUCCUAAGGUAGCGAAAUUCCUUGUCGGGUAAGUUCCGACCCGCACGAAAGGCGUAACGAUCUGGGCGCUGUCUCGGAGAGAGGCUCGGCGAAAUAGGAUUGUCUGUGAAGAUACGGACUACCUGCAUUUGGACAGAAAGACCCUAUGAAGCUUUACUAUAGCUUGGAAUUGUGUUCGGGCUUCCUGUGCGCAGGAUAGGUGGGAGGCGUAGAAGGUAUUCUUGUGGGGAUACUGGAGCCAACGGUGAGAUACCACUCUCAGGAGGCUAGAAUUCUAACUUAAUUAAGGACAGUUUCAGGUGGGUAGUUUGACUGGGGCGGUCGCCUCCAAAAAGGUAACGGAGGCGUACAAAGGUUCCCUCAGACUGGUUGGAAAUCAGUCGAAGAGUGCAAAGGCAGAAGGGAGCUUGACUGCGAGAAGUACAGUUCGAGCAGGGUGGAAACACGGUCUUAGUGAUCCGACGGUGCUGUGUGGAAGGGCCGUCGCUCAACGGAUAAAAGUUACUCUAGGAUAACAGGCUGAUCUCCCCCAAGAGUUCACAUCGACGGGGAGGUUUGGCACCUCGAUGUCGGCUCAUCGCAACCUGGGGCGGAAGUACGUCCCAAGGGUUGGGCUGUUCGCCCAUUAAAGCGGUACGUGAGCUGGGUUCAGAACGUCGUGAGACAGUUCGGUCCAUAUCCGAUGUAGGCGUGAGAAUAUUGAGAGGAGCCUUCCUUAGUACGAGAGGACCGGGAAGGACGCACCGCUGGUGUACCUGUUAUGAUGCCAAUUGUAAACGCAGGGUAGCCAAGUGCGGAGAGGAUAACCGCUGGAAGCAUCUAAGUGGGAAGCCCACCUCAAGAUGAGUAUUCUGGUGUAAGGUCACGGGAAGACGACCCGUAAAUAGGCACGAGGUGGAAGUGCAGAGAUGUAUGAAGCCGAAGUGUACUAAUAGACCGUCGGCUUG
rnacentral:rRNA from 1 species